rnacentral:rRNA from 1 species
CUUCACUUCGGUGAAGAGUGGCGAACGGGUGAGUAAUACAUAAGUAACCUGGCAUCUACAGGGGGAUAACUGAUGGAAACGUCAGCUAAGACCGCAUAGGUGUAGAGAUCGCAUGAACUCUAUAUGAAAAGUGCUACGGGACUGGUAGAUGAUGGACUUAUGGCGCAUUAGCUUGUUGGUAGGGUAACGGCCUACCAAGGCGACGAUGCGUAGCCGACCUGAGAGGGUGACCGGCCACACUGGGACUGAGACACGGCCCAGACUCC